rnacentral:rRNA from 1 species
AGGGCACCACCAGGAGUGGAGCCUGCGGCUUAAUUUGACUCAACACGGGGAAACUCACCCGGCCCGGACACCGGAAGGAUUGACAGAUUGAUAGCUCUUUCUUGAUUCGGUGGAUGGUGGUGCAUGGCCGUUCUUAGUUGGUGGAGCGAUCUGUCUGGUUAAUUCCGAUAACGAACGAGACUCUAGCCUAUUAAAUAGACGUCGGGUUCUCUGCACUCGACGGUCUUCUUAGAGGGACAAGGUGCUUUUAGCACCGCGAAACAGAGCAAUAACAGGUCUGUGAUGCCGUUAGAUGUCCGGGGCCGCACGCGCGCUACACUGAAGGAAGCAGCGUGUAACAACCUUGUUCUAACGAACUGGGUAACCCGUGGAACUUCCUUCAUGAUUGGGAUAGGGGUUUGCAAUUGUGCCCCUUGAACGAGGAAUUCCCAGUAAACACUAGUCAUCAGCUAGUGCUGAUUACGUCCCUGCCCUUUGUACACACCGCCCGUCGCUACUACCGAUUGAAUGGUUUAGUGA